rnacentral:rRNA from 1 species
UACAGAGGUCUCAAGCGUUGUUCGGAUUCAUUGGGCGUAAAGGGUGCGUAGGUGGUGGGGUAAGUUUGAUGUGAAAUCUCCGAGCUUAACUCGGAAAUGGCAUUGAAUACUACUCUGCUAGAGGGUCGGAGGGGAGACUGGAAUUUUCGGUGUAGCAGUGAAAUGCGUGGAUAUCGAAAGGAACACCAGUGGCGAAAGCGAGUCUCUGGACGACUCCUGACACUGAGGCACGAAGGCCAGGGGAGCAAACGGG